GACGAACGCUGGCGGCGUGCUUAACACAUGCAAGUCGAACGGUAAGGCCCUUCGGGGUACACGAGUGGCGAACGGGUGAGUAACACGUGGGUGAUCUGCCCUGCACUUCGGGAUAAGACUGGGAAACUGGGUCUAAUACCGGAUAGGACCACUGCCUGCAUGGGUGGUGGUGGAAAGCUUUUGCGGUGUGGGGUGGGCCCGCGGCCUAUCAGCUUGUUGGUGGGGUGAUGGCCUACCAAGGCGACGACGGGUAGCCGGCCUGAGAGGGUGACCGGCCACACUGGGACUGAGAUACGGCCCAGACUCCUACGGGAGGCAGCAGUGGGGAAUAUUGCACAAUGGGCGCAAGCCUGAUGCAGCGACGCCGCGUGAGGGAUGACGGCCUUCGGUUUGUAAACCUCUUUCAGCACCGACGAAGCGCAAGUGACGGUAGGUGCAGAAGAAGGACCGGCCAACUACGUGCCAGCAGCCGCGGUAA
rnacentral:rRNA from 1 species